rnacentral:pre_miRNA from 1 species
UUCCUAUGCACAUACCUCUUUGAGAAUUAGGUCUAAAGAGGCAUAGGGCAUGGGAAAA